CUCAUGUUGGGAAACUGUUGAUGCUUUAUUUAUAAUUCUAUGAGCCAGGCUGUGGUGGCACAUGCUUUUAAUCCCAGCACUUGGGAGGCAGAGGCAGGCAGAUCUCUGUGAGUUCGAGGCCAGCCUGGGCUAC